rnacentral:lncRNA from 1 species
GUGUAACAUAUGUAACCUGACUGAUUUGAUAGUUAAAGAGGUUCCUUAUAUUUUCCUGCAGGGGUCGCUGCAGCCAAGGUAUCUGGUGAAUUGGUCUGUGCAGUUCAGGUCUUCUUAGAGCCAUCAACAAUGACACCCCGGAGUUGUGGAAAAUGGGGUCCAGGAAGGUGGAAGCUUUGCCAAAGUUCACCUGGCUGGUAAGUAGCAGCUUCGUAUGAUCAUUUGCAAUGACCAUAUGACUUGGAUAAAUAUACAACAAUCAA